UGCAGUCGACGGCAGCGGGGGCUUCGGCCUGCCGGCGAGUGGCGAACGGGUGAGUAAUGCAUCGGAACGUACCCAGUCGUGGGGGAUAACUACGCGAAAGCGUAGCUAAUACCGCAUACGCCCUGAGGGGGAAAGCGGGGGACCUUCGGGCCUCGCGCGAUUGGAGCGGCUGAUGUCGGAUUAGCUAGUUGGUGGGGUAAAGGCCUACCAAGGCGACGAUCCGUAGCUGGUCUGAGAGGAUGAUCAGCCACACUGGGACUGAUACACGGCCCAGACUCCUACGGGAGGCAGCAGUGGGGAAUUUUGGACAAUGGGCGAAAGCCUGAUCCAGCCAUGCCGCGUGCAUGAUGAAGGCCUUCGGGUUGUAAACUGCUUUUUGUACGGAACGAAAAGGUCUUUU
rnacentral:rRNA from 1 species